rnacentral:rRNA from 1 species
GACGAACGCCGGCGGCGUGCUUAACACAUGCAAGUCGAACGAUGAUGCUGGAGCUUGCUCCAGUUGAUUAGUGGCGAACGGGUGAGUAACACGUGAGCAAUCUGCCCUUGACUCUGGGAUAACUGCGGGAAACCGUAGCUAAUACCGGAUACUUUCACCGGGGGGCAUCCUCUGGUGAUGAAAGAAUUUCGGUCAAGGAUGAGCUCGCGGCCUAUCAGCUUGUUGGUGAGGUAACGGCUCACCAAGGCGACGACGGGUAACCGGCCUGAGAGGGUGACCGGUCACACUGGGACUGAGACACGGCCCAGACUCCUACGGGAGGCAGCAGUGGGGAAUAUUGCACAAUGGGCGCAAGCCUGAUGCAGCAACGCCGCGUGAGGGAUGAAGGCCUUCGGGUUGUAAACCUCUUUUAGCAGGGAAGAAGCGAAAGUGACGGUACCUGCAGAAAAAGCACCGGCUAACUACGUGCCAGCCGCCGCCGUAA